rnacentral:lncRNA from 1 species
UUCCUCUUGAUGAAAAUCCCUUGCCCCACAAAUGGGCCUGUGUGGACAGAGAGGGCGAGUGAUAGGAAGAUGCGGUGAGGGCAGAGAGACGCCUUCCAGGGGAAGAAAUCAGAGAAUCCUGCCCAAGACCUGGAGCCCGCGAAGCCUCCCACCUCCUGGGGCACCAGGAGACACAGAAAAGUACAAAGAAGAAAACUAAAAAGGUGACCCAGAGAGAACCACUCUAAGAUGUGCACGGGAAUUCAGCUCAGCUCGCGUAUUUAAAUUGAGAUCCUACUGUUGUCUGUUUUUUCAUUUUUCACGAAAAUAAAAC